GGGAAUGUGGCGAAAUUGGUAGACGCGCACGGUUCAGGUCCGUGUGGGGCGACCCUUGAGAGUUCAAAUCUCUCCAUUCCUACCA
rnacentral:tRNA from 1 species